GACGAACGCUGGCGGCGUGCUUAACACAUGCAAGUCGAACGGAAAGGCCUGCUUUCCCUUGUGGUUUGCGGGUCCUGGAGUGGCGAACGGGUGAGUAACACGUGAGUGAUCUGCCCCCAACUUGGGUAUAAGCCUGGGAAACUGGGUCUAAUUCCCGAUAGGCCUGCAGGGUGGUGCCUGUGGUGGAAAACGAUUUUUUAGUGGUUGGGGUUGAGCUGGCGGCCUAUCAGCUGGUGGGUGGGGUAAUGGCCUACCAAGGCGGCGCCGGGUAGCCGGCCUGGGGGGGUGGACGGCCACAUUGGGACUGAGAUACGGCCCAGACUCCUACGGGAGGCAGCAGUGGGGAAUAUUGCACAAUGGGCGGAAGCCUGAGGCAGCGACGCCGCGUGGGGAUGACGGCCUUCGGGUUGUAAACUCCUUUCGACCGCGAGGAAGCCACCUGGUUGGAAGGGUGGUGACGGUAGUGGUAGAAGAAGCACCGGCUAACUACGUG
rnacentral:rRNA from 1 species